rnacentral:piRNA from 1 species
CGCUCUUAGCGGUGGAUCACUCGGCUCGUG